rnacentral:lncRNA from 1 species
UAGGCCAGCACAAGCCCUUGACUGUGAUUGCUUCAGGGUCGGGUUUCCAUGUGGAUGAGGUGGCUCGUUCGGAAUGGCACAGAACGUGUUUGUGUGAGCACUGAGAGCAGCACCCGGCCGUGCCCAGGUGUGGCAGAGCACACAGCCCGGUGCCCGCAGCAACAUCGCCGCUUCCCUGCCUCCGGCGACGCCACGUUUCUCCACAAAGGCGGCACACAGCGGCCUCGGGGCCGGCAGCGCCAAGGGGCCGGAGCGACACCGAGCCCAGCGGGCAGGGAAGGUCAGCCGGGAACCGAACCCGCUCGCGUGGCUGUGGGUGCCGCCAGCCCUCGAGCGGGCGGCGGGGGGAUGGGACGGGAUGGGAUGCGAUGGGGGCAGCUUGGCGGGGAUGUUGUUGCGCAGCUACUCGUGGCCGUGCGGUACGGCGGUGCGAUGAUGUCAGCGUGUUAUUUACUUUGCGGCGCAGGUGACGGGGCAGCACGAAGUGAGGCUGCCUGCGACCCGCCAGGCGGAAACGACGCCCGGCGGCGGCUGAGGGGGGAGGGGCGGCGGCACAGCGCGGCGCGUUGCAUCAUUCCGCGGGCAGAGCGGGUGUGUUGCCCGCAGCGGAGCGGCCCCGUCCCCGUGCACGCACGCGGCCCCGCAGCGCGUUUAACACUUCGGCUUAGGGCCCUCCCGGAGCCGGGGCUUCGGCCCGGUCACGGCGGCGGGGAGCCGAGGGGCCGUGGGGGGAGGGGAGGUUUCCUCCGCGUGUGCGCGGCGUGGGAAGCACCGCGGGGGUCCCCCCCGUCGCGGCCGGCGGGCAGGGCAGCCCCGCACGCUGCCGGGGCCGGGGGCGCGGCCGCUCGCCCCCCCCCCGCCCCCCCCCCCCCCCCCCCCCUUCCCGCCCGGCAGUGGCGGCGGCGGCGGGCUCCGGGCGCGGCCCGCUCCCCUCAGCGCCGAUCCCGCCGCCGCCGCGAGCCCGAGGCCGCCGUUCAGCCCCAAAACUUUCCGCUCUCCCCUUCCCACUCUCCGGGACUUCCUUGUGUGCGCCGAGGGGGAGGAGGAGGCGUGCGCGGCGGCGGCGGCGGCGGCGGGGGGGGGGGGGGUUCGCAGGCUGCUGGCGGGGCUGGCCGGGACCCCGGCACCAGGAGUUGCACCAUGCGCGGCAAGUGA